rnacentral:lncRNA from 1 species
AUCCCCAACGCCGUGCCCGUCACCACCAUCACCACCGCCACCGUCCAUCACCAUCGUCCAUCACCAUCGUCCAUCACCACCACCACCGUCCAUCACCAUCGUCCAUCACCACCGUCCAUCACCAUCGUCCAUCACCGCCGUCCACCAACAACAACCACCACCUCCAUGGCCACCAUGAUCAUGACCACCAUGACCAUCAUGCCCAACACCACCCACCGCCCCCAUCACCAUCUCUGCAAGCACCAUCACCCCCAACAGCCAUCACCUCCAACCCCAACAACCACCGCAGCCAUCAGCACCAAUAUAACCACUGCCGCCAUCACCCCGUCUCCCCUGGCCUCCUCCUGCCUUCUCCAUCUCCCCCUGCUUCCCCGGGAAGUCUCGGCCUGCCCAGAGCCUUCUCCCUCCCCUCCGGUCGGGGAAGGGCAGCAGCAGCACGCACCCUCCAACCGCAGUUUUCAAUAAAUCAGAACCUCCCGCCUCUGCGGGACGGAGCCGGCGGCACCGGCGCUGGCCCGGUUCAACACCCCGCACACACACACACACACACACACACACACACACGCACACACACACGCACACACACCCCGUGCACAUCCGAGCAGCAAAACGAGGGAAACACUGGGGAAAGCCGCCCGGCUCGGAGCCCCCCCGGCGCUGGACGCUCUCCCGCGCUCCGCCGCGGCGCUGAGGCCUGGCCGCGCUGUCCAGACCUCGGACGGAAAUCAAAUGCUAUUUUAUUCCCGCAGUUUUAACCCCACGGACUCUCUAUUAAUUACCCUUUUAUUUUCCCUGUUAUAGUAUAGAUAGCAUCAAAAUUAAUAACACAUUUUUCCUCAAACAAAAAUGAGUUGUUUGGGKUUUUUUUUCCUUAAAAUUCCUUUUUGCCUUAGAGAUCUUUGCUGCGUGGGGUGGGAUUUUUUUUUUUUUUCCUGGUGUAAAACCAGCCCAGCUCAGGGUCGCGUGGGCUUGGGGGUUAUUUUUUUGCCUUCUCCCCAGAGGCAGCGAGCGGGUCUCAGGCAGCGGCGCAUCCA